rnacentral:rRNA from 1 species
UACGUAGGUGGCAAGCGUUGUCCGGAUUUACUGGGCGUAAAGGGCUCGUAGGCGGCCAACUAAGUCGGAUGUGAAAUCCCCAGGCUUAACCUGGGAACUGCAUCCGAUACUGGAUGGCUUGAAUCCGGGAGAGGGAUGCAGAGUUCCAGGUGUAGCGGUGAAAUGCGUAGAUAUCUGGAGGAAUACCGGUGGCGAAGGCGGCAUCCUGGACCGGCAUUGACGCUGAUGAGCGAAAGCUAGGGGAGCAAACGGG